rnacentral:rRNA from 1 species
GAUGGGCCUGCGGCUGAUUAGCUAGUUGGUGGGGUAGCGGCCUACCAAGGCAACGAUCAGUAGCCGACCUGAGAGGGUGACCGGCCACACUGGGACUGAGACACGGCCCAGACUCCUACGGGAGGCAGCAGUGGGGAAUAUUGCGCAAUGGACGAAAGCCUGACGCAGCGACGCCGCGUGGGUGAUGAAGGCCUUCGGGUCGUAAAACCCUGUCGGGUGGAACGAAUCUCCUCUUCUCUAAUACAGGAGAGGAUUGACGGUACCACCGAAGGAAGCCCCGGCUAACUACGUGCCAGCAGCCGCGGUAAUACGUAGGGGGCGAGCGUUGUUCGGAUUUACUGGGCGUAAAGAGCGCGUAGGUGGUUCGAUGAGUCGGAGGUGAAAUCCCUCGGCUUAACCGAGGACCCGCGUCCGAUACUGUCGAACUUGAGUGCAGGAGAGGAGAGCGGAAUUCCCAGUGUAGCGGUGAAAUGCGUAGAUAUUGGGAGGAACACCGGUGGCGAAGGCGGCUCUCUGGACUGUCACUGACACUGAGGCGCGAAAGCUAGGGGAGCAAACGGGAUUAGAU